UUCAAUUUGGGCAGCCCAUCAGGCGCUAAUGGACCAGAGAUGCACCGGACUGUUAUCCUUCCACUGCUGGGAGGAGGAGGUUAUCGCUGCUCUGUGAAGCCAGCCUCACGCGGUGCCCUCCGAUCUAAAGACAGAGAAGCCUCCGCCUUCGCAAAGACUCCACUGCCCUACUCGCAACUUGGAACGGGCAGGCCAGACGAUAGCACCCCAAGCCCAGCCUUCAGGGCAAGCCCAAUUGUUCCACCAUCAUAAAGCUCCCACUUGGGUUACAGGCUUGCGUUACCAAGCCCAGCGAUAAAGUCUUCUAGCUAGGGAGUUAUUAAGAGAACAUAUUCUUCAUCUGGUUUCGAUGUGGGAAACUGUGCGAUGGCUGGUUUGGCUUUCAUGGGGAAAAAAUGGAACAGACAGUGUACUGAUGGUUGUUGCGUUGUAUCAUUGUUCACAAAAACUCAGCUCAGGAUUGUAGCUGCUCAAAGGUGGAUGCUGUCUCUUAUCUCAGAUGGUGAGAUUCAAGAUGACGAAAUUGAGAAGUUGAGUGUACUCUCAAGAAGUUCCGAUCCCUUGACAACACGAGUACCAGUGUUACAAUGAGUUCCGUUCCAGCUCAAAUUCAGCCAAUUUCACUAAUGUGCUUCAGACCCUUCAAUUGGAGGUAUUCCCAAUCAAUAUCUUGGAAUAACACCUAAUUAUUUAUGGGAAACUCAACUCCAUUCAACCAUUCUUCCAUUUAUUUAUAGUUUUUGCUCCAUUCAACCUUUCUCUGUUUUAUAUGCUUGCUGAUGAUGCUUAGGCUAUCUUUGUAUCCACUAUUGUCCACUGGUUGAAUGUUAUGUUGCCUUUAUAGAUUGGUGAAUGUUUAAGAUAUAUGCUAUUGCAAAUCAAAAUGAAUUUGGGCUUAUCCUACCAGUCUUGAGCUGUAGAGUUUACAUUAUGAAUAAUUUAUAAUCAACUCUAGUUUAUGGAUAACUGUGAUGCCUGAAUAUCUCCGGGAAGCCAAAGUUUACCAAUUACUGGGAUGCUUGGAGAAAAAUCCAUAGGCCUGAUAUCGUCCCUAUGAGACCUGACACAAAUGCUAGAUGGAAAAAACCUCCCCAGGGAAGCUUUAAACUGAAUGUGGAUAUGAUGCAGCAAAUGAUACAGGGCUGGGUUUUAUUCUGAGAGACUCCAAUGGUGAAUUCGUAGCUGCUGCUGGAAGGGCGAAACUAUUGGGAUUAGGGAGGCUUUGAAGUGGUUAAAGACACUUGGUAUCCAAACAGCUCAAGUUGAAUCUGAUGCUCUCUUAGUAAUCCAAGGAUUGAGAGAUCUUAGAUAUUCGUUUGCUAAGCGAUCCGUGAAUACGGUAGCCCAUUUGUUGGCUAGGAAAGCCGUCUUCAAUGGUGAUCGUAGGGAAUGGAGGACUUUUCCUCCCAUUUUCCUUUCUGAUCAUCUGAUGUACUUGCAGUUGAUCUUCAUUAAUGUUAUUGACUUAUUGUUGUCUUUUUGUUUUUCAGAUAUAUUUAUAUAGAUUGUUAUCUC